rnacentral:pre_miRNA from 1 species
GUGAGCUUAAAGGAGCUCUCGACACGCCAACUCUGAAAGGAAAUGAUGGCACAAAUUGCCACAGCUGCUAGUUCAUGGUCACCCCUGCCUGUGCACCAAUCUUCCUCUCCGAUCCACGGUGGCCGGCGCAGGCUAGGGUUUGCAUGAACUAGGAGUCGUGGGUUGCCUUCAUCUUUUUGGUAUUGGUGUGAAGGGAGCUCCUUUUUGCUCUUUC